CCUGAGAAACCUAAAAGAUCGAAUGAAGAGAUUCAUCGUCAAUAUAUAAAAUAUAUAUAUACAUUAUGAUAUAAAUUUUAUUAUAGCUUAAUUGUUAUUUUAUUAAAUUUAUACAUAUGUAUAUUAUUUUAUUGUUUUAUAUUGUCGGCGUGCACUUCUCUUCUAGUAGAACAUUGUAACCUGUUAAAUAUUAAUUUACGGCCUUAUUGGGUAGCCUUUGAUCGUUAAAACAUUAAAGACCAAUUUGUGUUUCCUAAUUAAUUAUUUGACAGUAUUCAUAUGGUAUUAUGUCGCUCAAUAUAUUUUUUUGCGUUCUUAUUCAUCGCAAGCGAGACUAUUUUUUUAAUAGUUUACGGACCUAGUGCCGUCUAUUAUAAAUAGUCAGCUG
rnacentral:rRNA from 1 species